CAGUCGCCGCGGUAAUACGGAGGGUGCAAGCGUUAAUCGGAAUUACUGGGCGUAAAGCGUGCGUAGGCGGUUCGUUAAGUCUGUUGUGAAAGCCCCGGGCUCAACCUGGGAAUGGCAAUGGAUACUGGCGAGCUAGAGCGUGUCAGAGGAUGGUGGAAUUCCCGGUGUAGCGGUGAAAUGCGUAGAGAUCGGGAGGAACAUCAGUGGCGAAGGCGGCGACCUGGUCCUUUACUGACGCUGAGGCGCGAAAGCGUGGGGAGCAAACAGGAUUAGAUACCCCCGUAGUCCCUGUCUCUUAUAC
rnacentral:rRNA from 1 species